rnacentral:rRNA from 1 species
UGGGGAAUAUUGGGCAAUGGGCGCAAGCCUGACCCAGCAACGCCGCGUGAAGGAAGAAGGCUUUCGGGUUGUAAACUUCUUUUGUCAGGGAAGAUGAAGAGACGGUACCUGACGAAUAAGCCACGGCUAACUACGUGCCAGCAGCCGCGGUAAUACGUAGGUGGCAAGCGUUGUCCGGAUUUACUGGGUGUAAAGGGCGUGUAGGCGGGAGAGCAAGUCAGGCGUGAAAACUAUGGGCUUAACCCAUAGCCUGCGUUUGGAAAACUGUUUUUCUUGAGUACUGGAGAGGUUGACGGAAUUCCUUGUGUAGCGGUGAAAUGCGUAGAUAUAAGGAGGAACACCAGUGGCGAAGGCGGUCAACUGGACAGCAACUGACGCUGAGGCGCGAAAGCGUGGGGAGCAAACAGGAUUAGAUACCC